UACGUAGGGCGCAAGCGUUGUCCGGAAUUAUUGGGCGUAAAGAGCUCGUAGGCGGCCUGUUGCGUCCGCUGUGAAAUCCCGGGGCUUAACCCCGGGCUUGCAGUGGAUACGGGCAGGCUGGAGGCAGGCAGGGGAGAACGGAAUUCCCGGUGUAGCGGUGAAAUGCGCAGAUAUCGGGAGGAACACCAAUGGCGAAGGCAGCUCGCUGGGACGGUACUGACGCUGAGGCGCGAAAGCGUGGGGAGCAAACAGG
rnacentral:rRNA from 1 species